UACAGAGGGUGCGAGCGUUGUCCGGAAUCACUGGGCGUAAAGCGCACGCAGGUGGCUGAGUCAGUCGAUUGUGAAAGCCCUGGGCUUAACCUGGGAAUUGCAGUCGAUACUACUCAGCUAGAGUAUGGGAGAGGGCAGUGGAAUUCCCGGUGUAGCGGUGAAAUGCGUAGAUAUCGGGAGGAACAUCAGUGGCGAAGGCGGCUGCCUGGCCCAAUACUGACACUCAGGUGCGACAGCGUGGGGAGCAAACAGG
rnacentral:rRNA from 1 species